ensembl:lncRNA
ACACUUAAGAAGCUACAAGUUAUUCCGUAGCAUUUGUAUAAAGAACAAUACCUGUUUUCAUUGUGAAGUCUUUUCCCUGUUCUCCAUCGGACUUCUGGGAGCAGUUCACAUCAUGAUGUGUUGCCAGGAAGUGGCAGCACUCUGGGUAUCUUUUCUAUGUCUUUUUUGUUUGUUUUGUUUUGUUUUGAAGAAUGGCCCCAAACUGAACCACAGUAGAGCUGUUAGCUUGAAGGGCCCUGGAGGGCAUAAGCCCGAAAAGAGAUUGAUAGUGGACAUCACCAGCAGAUUUCAGCCCCAGCUGAGUUCAGGACAUCCCGCAUCACUGUUGGAAAACAUCUGGGAGUCUUCCUCAGAAGCCCCACCCUGAGAGUUGGCCCCACCCACUCUCUCCUGGCUACACUGCACUCAAGACCUGAUGUGUCGCCAUCUAGGUUAAGGAGCAAACUUCCAUGGACUUUUGUGGACAAGGUGCUGCUUUUUCUCAUGACCCUGUAGAAUUUCUAUUGACCACAUCAACUGUAGCUCUGAUCUAUAUGAACGCAGGGGAGAAUUUGUGCAUACAAAUGAGUGGAAACAAGAGCAGGAUUCAUGAAUAUGGAUGAGGAUGCGGAUCAUUUUGGAGAAAGUGCUGGGCACACGGGUCAACUGGAAUUUUCGUUUCUCUUAGAAAAUAACCCAGCCAGCAGCACACACUGCUCUCCCUGUUCCCCAUACCUGUGGGGCUUCCUCCAGAGCGGAACUGUUUGCUUCUUUCACAUCGUAACUAGUCAAACCCGGAAAUCGGUAAAUGAAAUGAGCUUAUAAGCACUUUUAGGUACCAAUUGUAUCACUAAGUAAUGCAUACCAGUAGAGCAAGAAAGUAUAAAAUGUAUUUAAGACCGACUGGUUUGCUUACCAUGACUAACUGUAAAAGCCCAGAUCCAAUGACAUAUGUGCUUUAAAAGGUGUAUCUAUCAUAGGACUAGAAAUCAAAAGGGGAAUUUUACUUCUGGUCCUGUUUUGUAAAUAGUUCCUUUUUUUUUAAUUGAAGACAAUCUCAUGUUUUAUAACUUUUCUUGUGAGUCUGAGAAUCACAAUGGUAAUGUGUUGUGUCAAAAUGUGAUCUUAAAUACAAUAAUAAUUAUAACUUAAUUUUCCAAAUAAGGCAAGAAAAACA